CUAAUACUCCCUCCGUUCCAAAAUNNNNNUCUUAGGUUUGUUUAAAAAUGGAUGUAUCUAAAUACUAAAAUGUAACUAGAUACAUUCAUAUCUACACAAAAUCUAAGACAAGAAUUUGGGACAGAGGGAGUAUAUA
rfam:Hordeum vulgare subsp. vulgare, WGS project CAJW01000000 data, contig: morex_contig_1895299